ACAAGAAGGAAUCAGGAGGCAGAGCACAUGGUUAAAGCAUGAGAUGUGAAACCAGGAAGAACCAGGUCUGAACCUUAGCUCCACCAGUGGUAGCCCCAAACCUUGGUCCUUUCUGAGCCUGCUUCUUCAACCCUAAGGAACUCGGAAACGGGACCCAGAAAGUUGUUUUCUGCAAGUGGAUGGAACAACACAAGCAAUCAUUCUCUGCAUCUUAAUUCCCUCAUCUGUAAAAUGGAAAUAAUACACCUACCUUCUCAGUUUACUGUGAGGAAAAAAUGAAUCAAUACAUAUAUAAAGCACCUGGCACAGUGCGUGGCAUAGGAGGUUUCCUUGGGAAUUCCUUCAGAAGUUAAAUAGCUUACCCAAGGUGUCACAACUACGUAAGGUGGCCCAGCUCAAGAUUCAAAUGCAAGUUCAUAUG
rnacentral:antisense_RNA from 1 species